rnacentral:snoRNA from 1 species
UUCUUAUGAUGAAAACUCUGUCCAGUUCUGCUACUGAAGGGAAAAACCUAAAAAAA